CCGUACUAGGCAACCAAGGUACCAACCCCUCGAUACGGUUAUACGGGCCUACUACCCCCCGUACUAGGCAACCAAGGUACCAACCCCUCGAUACGGUUAUACGGGCCUACUACCCCCCGUACUAGGCAAUCAAGGUACCAACCCCUUGAUACGGUUACCCGGGCCUACAACCCCCCGAGCUAGGCUUGGUCGACUCACACACUAUAUAGAGAAAAUCAUAUACAUGUAUCCAUUUCAUCAUCAUUUCAAUACUUAUAUAAUCAUCCGACUCAUAGGACGUACAUUGGACCUUCCAUUUCAUAAGAAUUCUAUAAAUGGCAUUUUAUCAAACAUAUGGUGGGCUACUUGUUCAUGUAAAUAAAAUCAUGUGUUUCAAGAGUACUAAGUCCAACCAAUUUCAAAAUCCAUAUAAAACAGCCCACCAACAACAUACAUAUAUAUAUACAUAUAUAACAACC
rnacentral:lncRNA from 1 species